rnacentral:rRNA from 1 species
AUUGAACGCUGGCGGCAGGCCUAACACAUGCAAGUCGAGCGGAUGAAGGGAGCUUGCUCCUGGAUUCAGCGGCGGACGGGUGAGUAAUGCCUAGGAAUCUGCCUGGUAGUGGGGGAUAACGUCCGGAAACGGGCGCUAAUACCGCAUACGUCCUGAGGGGGAAAGGGGGGGACCUUCGACCCCACGCUUUCAAGAUGAGCCUAGGUCGGAUUAGCUAGUUGGUGGGGUAAAGGCCUACCAAGGCGACGAUCCGUAACUGGUCUGAGAGGAUGAUCAGUCACACUGGAACUGAGACACGGUCCAGACUCCUACGGGAGGCAGCAGUGGGGAAUAUUGGACAAUGGGCGAAAGCCUGAUCCAGCCAUGCCGCGUGUGUGAAGAAGGUCUUCGGAUUGUAAAGCACUUUAAGUUGGGAGGAAGGGCAGUAAGUUAAUACCUUGCUGUUUUGACGUUACCAACAGAAUAAGCACCGGCUAACUUCGUG